rnacentral:snoRNA from 1 species
GUCCAUGAUGAGUUAAUCUACAUAACUGAGAUGUGGCUGGCUUCAAGUCCCUGUUUUUCAGGGAGAACCUACUUGUGGCUGCUACAUCAUAGCAUGAAAUCACUGGAAAUCUCUGAGAC